rnacentral:rRNA from 1 species
UGAGUGGGGGAGUAACGUAGCGAAAGUUACGCUAAUACCGCAUACGAUCUAAGGAUGAAAGUGGGGGAUUCGCAAGAACCUCAUGCUCCUGGAGCGGCCGAUAUCUGAUUAGCUAGUUGGUGGGGUAAAGGCCUACCAAGGCAUCGAUCAGUAGCUGGUCUGAGAGGACGACCAGCCACACUGGGACUGAGACACGGCCCAG